rnacentral:rRNA from 1 species
UGGCAGUCAGAGGCGAUGAAGGACGUGCUAAUCUGCGAUAAGCGUCGGUAAGGUGAUAUGAACCGUUAUAACCGGCGAUUUCCGAAUGGGGAAACCCAGUGUGAUUCGUCACACUAUCAUUAACUGAAUCCAUAGGUUAAUGAGGCGAACCGGGGGAACUGAAACAUCUAAGUACCCCGAGGAAAAGAAAUCAACCGAGAUUCCCCCAGUAGCGGCGAGCGAACGGGGAGCAGCCCAGAGCCUGAAUCAGUGUGUGUGUUAGUGGAAGCGUCUGGAAAGGCGCGCGAUACAGGGUGACAGCCCCGUACACAAAAAUGCACAUACUGUGAGCUCGAUGAGUAGGGCGGGACACGUGGUAUCCUGUCUGAAUAUGGGGGGACCAUCCUCCAAGGCUAAAUACUCCUGACUGACCGAUAGUGAACCAGUACCGUGAGGGAAAGGCGAAAAGAACCCCGGCGAGGGGAGUGAAAAAGAACCUGAAACCGUGUACGUACAAGCAGUGGGAGCCUCUUUUAUGGGGUGACUGCGUACCUUUUGUAUAAUGGGUCAGCGACUUAUAUUCUGUAGCAAGGUUAACCGAAUAGGGGAGCCGAAGGGAAACCGAGUCUUAACCGGGCGUUAAGUUGCAGGGUAUAGACCCGAAACCCGGUGAUCUAGCCAUGGGCAGGUUGAAGGUUGGGUAACACUAACUGGAGGACCGAACCGACUAAUGUUGAAAAAUUAGCGGAUGACUUGUGGCUGGGGGUGAAAGGCCAAUCAAACCGGGAGAUAGCUGGUUCUCCCCGAAAGCUAUUUAGGUAGCGCCUCGUGAAUUCAUCUCCGGGGGUAGAGCACUGUUUCGGCAAGGGGGUCAUCCCGACUUACCAACCCGAUGCAAACUGCGAAUACCGGAGAAUGUUAUCACGGGAGACACACGGCGGGUGCUAACGUCCGUCGUGAAGAGGGAAACAACCCAGACCGCCAGCUAAGGUCCCAAAGUCAUGGUUAAGUGGGAAACGAUGUGGGAAGGCCCAGACAGCCAGGAUGUUGGCUUAGAAGCAGCCAUCAUUUAAAGAAAGCGUAAUAGCUCACUGGUCGAGUCGGCCUGCGCGGAAGAUGUAACGGGGCUAAACCAUGCACCGAAGCUGCGGCAGCGACACUGUGUGUUGUUGGGUAGGGGAGCGU